CACCGUCAGAUUUCAGGAAAACUCUUCUUUUAAGCUUUUCCAUCACAUUUUUUAGCUUGACCAUGGCUAAUAGUUGUGGAUAUUGCUUUGAGCUACCUUUUGGGUUUGAUUUGCUUCAUUCGCAAUCAAAUGGUUGUAUUUAUACUGCUGAAACAUGAAUCUGAGGCAUUUUAAUUAUCUGACCUUACCGGGAUAAUAAUGUUCACGUGGGCGGUCUAUUAGUAAAGAGAGAAUAAGAAGCUAGUAAGUGCAUCCAACGCAGGUUAGGCGAAGUUGCAUGAAAAACUUAUUGAGAUUACUUGGACACAUGCGGCAGAGUCCACUUAUGCACCAAGUAGGGGUGAUUUCGUUCAAAUUGAUGCAAAUCGGAGAAAGUAGUAAAAAGAGGUAUGAUAACACCUAAUUUGCCAAAUAAUCAUACCAUAAAUAGUGUUGUGUGGAAAAAGGGUCCUUAUAGAUGACCCAAUAAUUUAAAUGCUAAAUGCUAAAUGCUUAGUCUUUGUUGUCGCUGUUGUUGCUGUUGUAUUAAGUAGACAAUCUGAUUUCCAGCUUUAUCAUAGCUUUGAAUGGACAAUAUCUUCAAUUUUCCUCUAUCAUUGGUGAACUUCCUAAAGCUUUAGACCAAACACCAAAGUGAUAUGUCGAUUCUUCUAGUUGAGAGGGGAGUUGCAACAAUUGUCAAAACUGCUGUUAGAAACAGCUAGCAGUCAAUUAUGUAUGCUUGCUUGACACUAAUUCUUGAUUAGGUUUGCAGUGUCUCUCCUGAAAUAAAUGCAUUUGCAUUCUCAUAGGUGUAAUAACUAAAAGGAUAGGGAGAAAGUCUUUUCUCAUUAAGAACAGAAACCUUACAUGAGGGGUUCCUGAGGAGGUAGGUAUGUCGAGCUAAUGAGCUUUUCCAUAUAUAAUCCAAAAAAGUAACAUAAGCAUAUAUUCCUGCAGAAUCUGAAUCUUCAUAUGUGCCCCACCUACAUGUUAUUCAAAAACACCUUUAAGAUGAAGAGAGAUUGAAAUUCAUACUGGGAAGUUUUUUUGUUAACUGUUAAUUAAUUAAGUUUUUGAAGGGCGUACAUGAAAUUGUAGAUACGUAACUUUGCUGGGGUGUAUACAUGUAAGCAGAUAUGUACAUACGUGAUUUUGCAAGAAAGGAGGAAGUGUGAGGGCAUGAUAUUGCAGGAAAGGAGAAAUGUCUAUGGCAUAAAUAAGAUUCGCAGGCCCAAAAAAGGAGAAUCUUCAAAUAUUCGGAGCUUCUGAUUCUGCUCAAUAGUGCUCCUUCUAAAGGCACUUAUCGGACAACACUUCAUCGAACAGCAUUGCACCGUACAGUAGAGAAGUUCAUUCAUUUCUCCUUGUGGGGAGGUAUUGCAUUAUCCCAGUUGGCUACCUAAUGAAGUGCUUGGCUACAUGGUGGAAACAGUUGCAACAACCAACAAACAGAGCAUGGGGCUACAUGUUUCGCGAGACGGUUAGAUCAGCUUCUCUAUUUCGAAAAGCAAAAAGUGUCGAGCAUCUAUAAAAUGAACAUUUGGAUUCGAAGUUUGAGGCAACUUUUGAAUAGACAUUAUUUAUGUCUGUUAAAAUUGGAGAAAUUGGAUGAAACUUGUAUAAGAUUUCUUCUAAGAAAUCAAAUUAUGAUUACCGUUUAGUUAAUCGUGCAUUAA